CACACAGACACACACACACACACACACAGAGCGGGGACACCGAGGACACCGACACCGGAGCCGCCGCCGCCGCCUCUGCCACCGCCGCCUCCCCCCGGCCGGCCGGCCGGCGCUGGGGCUGUCGGCGGGCAGAGCCCCAGGUGGUAGUCUUCCUGAAGUCCUGAAGAUUGGAAGAAAAUAAACCAGCAGCCGACAAACAUCUGGUAAAUACCCCCCUGAAGUCAUUCGCUGAGUUUCAGCUGCCCUACCGUCUUCUCAGAAUUAACUCUGGAAAAAUAAAUCACUGACGUGUUGGCUAUCCACGAAACCUGACCAAGUCCCAAAGGUCUGCCAGCCAGCGGCACCAAGCCAACAGCCCUCCGCUUCGACACCCACCGCGGAACAGCACUCCCCGCCGCUUCCACCCGCCCUCGCCACCCCACCCCGCCGGAAAG